UCAGCUUCAUUAACCUCCUACUACAACUGGGGCCAGAGUCACUAUCAACACUGGAUUUUCCUUGUAUCUUUUGGUAGCCAGAGAGAGGACUUACCCAUGGCCUGCAGGACCUAGGUGGAUGAAUGGUGACAGAGAACUGUUCUGAAUCCAUCUGAGCUUUUUGACUUAAAGGAAAGCAGAGGUCAGGAAGACCAGUUAUGCAGAGAAGAUUAAGUGGAUAUAUUUUCAAUUAAUAUUUGUAUGUGUAUGUGUGUACGUGAGUAGUGCUGGUUAAAUGUCUGUUUUACUUGUAUUCUUCUUUCCCUUGAAACGUUUAUGAAUCCAUAACAAUUUGGGUCCCUUCCUUUUCCUCUCCCUCUCCCUCUCCCAGGAUUGCAAACUCAUUUGACAGAGGGAAGAGGGCUUAGUAUUUGUAACAGCAACUUCGGAAAUAAAAGGAGAUGCCCUAGUAUCAAAGGUGUUGAACCAAAAAAGCACGCAGGGAAAGGUAAGGUGGCCUAGAGCUGAGCAGCUUCAGGAUGCUGAAACCACUCCUAGUGCGGGAGAGACAAAGGAAAGCGAUGGGGCAUCAAAGCUUGGAACCAAGGCCACCCAAGAAGCUAGAGCCACAGUGGAUCUGCCUAGAGGAAGCCGGAGCCAUGCGCAGAAGCAGCUGCUGCUGGAGGAACCAUUAAGGGAGGAAGAGUAACUUAAUAAUGACCAUACAUUCAAAAUAUCAAUAAAGGUCAUACAUUGAACAUCUAGACCAUCAUUGGUUCUUGCCAAGAAGAAACUCAAGAGUUAUCUCAUUACUGAACCUGGGUUCAACCUUUGUAUGGAAGACUGAAAUCAGAAAGGUAAUCCUUUCAUCUCAUCCCUCAUAAAAUAAAAAGAGUGAAUUUCCUUUU